CACAAACCUGUCCUUAGUUUCUUUGUUGAUAUGAACCUGCAACCUGCUUGCUUUCUGAACUGGCUUAUAUUGGUUGUGUCAGAUCAUUUGAAACAAGUGAAAUCAAUUUUGAGUGGUUGUGUUCAAUCAAUGACAUGUGUUCUCUA